AUGAAUCGAGUAUGUAUGAAGGGGUCAGUCAAGCGGUUCGGGUUCUCGGUCGGUUCCCGUUCGCCUGCCCCCCCUCAUAGUCCAUUAGUGGGUAGGGUGGUCAACUUAAAGGGCGCCCGCCUCCUCUUCAGACGUGUCUUCGACAACCUGGCGGUUGUUCGGUCUCCGCUUUUGGAGACGGGAGUGCUUGGUCGCUGGGGUUUCCUUUUCCUCAACCAAUUCGGUUGUGUCAGCCCUGAGAUUGGUUGGUAUAACAUUUAUGAGCAGGUUGGCUGGACAAAGAUUGAUGGAAGGUAA